UCCCUGGUGGUCUAGUGGUUAGGAUUCAGCACUUUCACUGCUGUGGCAAAGGUGCUAUCCCUGGUCUGGGAA
rnacentral:tRNA from 1 species